rnacentral:rRNA from 1 species
AUCGAACGCUGGCGGCAGGCUUAACACAUGCAAGUCGAGCGAGCGGCGGACGGGUGAGUAAUGCCCGUGAAACUGCAUGAUGGAGGGGGAAAACUACGGGAAACGGUAGAUAACACCGAAUACCAUCAGAUGUGCCCAGAUGGGAUUAGCUAGUAGUGGGGGGAAGGGCUCACCAAGGCGACGAUCCCUAGCCGGUCUGAGAGGAUGACCAGCCACACUGGUACUGAGACACGGUCCAGACUCCUACGGGAGGCAGCAGUGGGGAAUAGUGCACAAUGGGCGCAAGCCUGAUACAGCUAGUCCGGGUGAGUGAAGAGGGCCUUCGGGUGUUAAAGCACUUUCAGCGGAGAGGCGUUACUCGCAGAAGAAGCACCGGCUAACUCCGUGCCAGCAGCCGCGGUAAUAC